ACUAUUAGAUGAGAGUGAAUAAUAACAAAAUAAUUAUUUUUAAUAAAAAAAUAUAAAAUAUUAUCAAAAUACUACAAAUCUUAAAAUAAAUGGUAAGUCCUAAUAAUAAUAAUAAUAAUAAAGCUAAAUACAAAAAAAAUUCAGUAUAAAUAUUCGUUUUUUUACUUUUUCUCGUUUACUUUCAAAAAUCAAAUUUUGCCCCUUAAAAUUUCAAGGUGUUGCAUUUAGCCCCCCUCCGUCAAUGUUCCAUUACUAUUCCGUCUAUUUUUUAUAAUUUAUAAUAAAAAUAUCCUUCAAAAUGACGAAAAUAUAUUAAAAGAUAAUUUUUUUAUAAAAAAAAAUAAGGACAAUUUGAUCAUUUUGUCUUACCCAUUAACACGGUACCCUCCGAAAAUAUUUCUGAAAUUAAAAAAAAAAUAGACUUCUAAAAAUAAUAAAAAGAAU
rnacentral:lncRNA from 1 species